rnacentral:rRNA from 1 species
CUACGGGUCGCAGCAGUGGGGAAUAUUGCACAAUGGGCGCAAGCCUGAUGCAGCCAUGCCGCGUGUAUGAAGAAGGCCUUCGGGUUGUAAAGUACUUUCAGCGGGGAGGAAGGGAGUAAAGUUAAUACCUUUGCUCAUUGACGUUACCCGCAGAAGAAGCACCGGCUAACUCCGUGCCAGCAGCCGCGGUAAUACGGAGGGUGCAAGCGUUAAUCGGAAUUACUGGGCGUAAAGCGCACGCAGGCGGUUUGUUAAGUCAGAUGUGAAAUCCCCGGGCUCAACCUGGGAACUGCAUCUGAUACUGGCAAGCUUGAGUCUCGUAGAGGGGGGUAGGAUUCCAGGUGUAGCGGUGAAAUGCGUAGAGAUCUGGAGGAAUACCGGUGGCGAAGGCGGCCCCCUGGACGAAGACUGACGCUCAGGUGCGAAAGCGUGGGGAGCAAACAGGAUUAGAUACCCCAGUAGUC